rnacentral:lncRNA from 1 species
GGGUUAUUGAUUUCUGAGUUUAUUCCUCUAUCUUGCUAAUGAAUUCCUGUCCUUUUCCUUUAAAAACAAAGAACAUACUUAUAUUUUAUCACUUAUAUGUGGUUCUCAAAUCUUUUUAUUCAAACUACUAAGAAUUAUUAAAUUAUUACCAAAGUAGCAAAAAAUUCAGUAUUCAAAGUUAGGAUAGGUAUUAUAUAGAUGUAAUAUAUAUAUAAAUGAAAAUCAAAUCUUUCAUUACAUACACACAGUCUGCCUUAAAAACUUGGUUCUAAAGAAAAGUCUUUCUUCAUUAUAUAUAAGCAAAUUCAAAAACUGAUGAGGUUUAGGAAAUUGCUAUGAAUAAUACAGAGAGAAUAUAAACCACAUUACAACAUGAUACAACAAAAAGUUUUCAAAGGGUGGUUGCUUAGCAAUCUUAAAAUAUUACCAAAGAAAUAUAAUAUUCUUUCAAAUUCCAUGAUAUUCUUUUUUAUAAAACCAUUACUAGCAAACCUUUACAUUACAUUACUAGCAAACCAUUACAUUACUAGC